UCCCCGGUGUCUCAGAUGGUAAAGAAUCUGCCUAUAAUGCAGGAGAUCCAGGUUCAAUCCCUGAGUUGGGAA
rnacentral:tRNA from 1 species